GCGCUGUCAGCGGACUUCUGGCUGCAAGUCCACUUCUGGAUUCACCUGGCCUGGGACAUGUUGGCCUCAGUUUGGGACUGAGCAGAAGUCUGGCUCUCAGAACACCACCCAGACACCUGUGGUAAAGCCCAAGACUUCUGCUCAUCAGGACAUCCUGUAAGGGACCGUUCAGAUGGAUGGAACAAAUUGCUUCCUUUCCUUAAUUUCAACAUCCACGGCCUAGUAGCCACUUUCCUUAAUGGUGGCCUUCAAGGUUUGGUAGCAAAGACUCCAAGAUCAGCUCUAACCCAUCCCUACAUUGCUCAGCGACAAUGAUCCUAGUGGUGAAGGCAGCGAAACUGCUACUUAAAAUUGGAGAGGUGGUGCUGCAUUGGUCCCCUUGUUGUACGAAAGGAAUCGCUGGAGCUUUGGGGACAAGAAGUGCCAACGGCCACGACAACUGUACACAGGCAACAGUAUCGGAGGAACCGAGAUGCUGUGACCCCCAUCCAUCCAUCCAGUACAUCCAUGACAUCAUUGUGGGGGGGACACAGCAGAAGAAGUUUUCGAGAAAGGACAGAAGAUCAUCCAGAUUCUCCUCGAGGCUGGUUUUGCCAUCAAGAAGAGUAAGGUCAAGGGCCCUGCCCAAGAGAUCCAGUUCCUAGGGCUGAAAUGGCAAAUGGACGACACCAGAUACCAACAGACGUCCUCAACAAGAUUGUAGCAAUGGCUCCACCCACAAACAAGAAAGAAACCCAAGCUUUUCUGGGAGCCAUUGGCUUCUGGAGGAUGCACAUCCCAGAGUACAGCCAGAUGGUGAGCCCUCUUUACUUUGUGACCCGUAAAAAGAACAAUUUCCAGUGGGGUCCUGAACAACAACAAGCUUUCAGGCAGAUCAAGCAAGAGAUUGCACAUGCCGUGGCUCUUGGAGCUGUCAGGACAGGACCAGAGGUAAAGAAUGUGCUCUACUCUGCAGCUGGAGAUAAAGGUCCCUCCUGGAGCCUCUGGCCAAAGGUGCCUGGUGAGACGUGAGGGCGACCACUGGGUUUCUGGAGCCGAAGCUACAGAGGUUCUGAGGCCAAUUCCACCCCUGUGGAGAAGGAAAUCUUAGCAGCCUAUGAAGGCAUACAAGCAGCUGCAGAGCUUUCAGAUUCAGCAAUGUCCUCACUCCCGACAGACCAGGGUCCCCUUUCCAGAGUAAUGGAGGAGCACCGGGAUUUUUUAAUCCAAAAUUCCCGGAUUUGAAUGAAAUGCUCUGGAAAGGCUCUGGAAAUCAUUGGGUGUUCACAAUCAUCAAGGAAGAUGUUCACCAGGAAUUGCUGAUCACUGGCCUCCAGCUGGAUGUUGCACUCCUGAUCACCACCCUGG